CGGCCGCACAACGUCAGGAACUGGACCUCGCUGCUCACCGUCCUGUGAUUGGUCCCGAGGCCUCAGGAGGCGCAGCCAAUAGGCGACCGCCUCUUUCCCGGCGCAGGAGCGGGCCGCGGCCGUGACGUCAGCAGCGUGCGUCCUGAUUGUGAGGCUACGGCGCGCGCGGUCCCGCGACGCGUCCUCCCGGUUUCCUGCCCUGACUUCCUUUGAUGAUGGACUGUGAUGUGGAACAGACUCUGAAAUAAACCCUUUCUUCCCCACGCUGCUUCUGGUCAUCAUGUUUUGUCACGGCAAUGCUGGUGGGAAGCUGUGUUUACCUGCGGUUUGGUCUAAAGAGAACAUAUUCUAAAGCAUGAGUAGAAUUGUUGGCGGUAGAGAUGAAGCUGAAGAGAAGGAAGACCAGGUCUGGCACGCCGAGGAUGCGGGUGAGCUGCUUGUGGAUGACCUGUUCCCUGUAGGACAUCUGCUGCUGGGUGUUUCGCCGGAACCUGUACCAUCCGAUAACUUUCUGCAACAAAACCAGACGACAGCAAAGUAUUAAGAGCUCACUUAACUCAGAAUGCGUCCAAAUGAGCCCUGUAAACAAAUGUUCGUGA
rnacentral:lncRNA from 1 species